rnacentral:rRNA from 1 species
AUUGAACGCUGGCGGCAGGCCUAACACAUGCAAGUCGAGCGGUAGCACAGAGAGCUUGCUCUCGGGUGACGAGCGGCGGACGGGUGAGUAAUGUCUGGGAAACUGCCUGAUGGAGGGGGAUAACUACUGGAAACGGUAGCUAAUACCGCAUAACGUCGCAAGACCAAAGUGGGGGACCUUCGGGCCUCAUGCCAUCAGAUGUGCCCAGAUGGGAUUAGCUGGUAGGUGGGGUAACGGCUCACCUAGGCGACGAUCCCUAGCUGGUCUGAGAGGAUGACCAGCCACACUGGAACUGAGACACGGUCCAGACUCCUACGGGAGGCAGCAGCGGGGAAUAUUGCACAAUGGGCGCAAGCCUGAUGCAGCCAUGCCGCGUGUGUGAAGAAGGCCUUCGGGUUGUAAAGCACUUUCAGCGGGGAGGAAGGCGGUGAGGUUAAUAACCUCACUGAUUGACGUUACCCGCAGAAGAAGCACCGGCUAACUCCGUGCCAGCAGCCGCGGUAAGAC